ACUCAUACCUUGCAGGUGAAAUACCAUGUCAUAAAAAUGGUUUUCUCAGGGGGAGGUUCAUCCAUUGCCCUUUAGGUAUGCUGUUGCUUCUUAUGAUUUCCCCAAAUGUGGGAGUCUCAGUUGCAUAAUUUGUGUUAAUGGGAGAUUUCUUUUAUGAUUAAUCCUG
rnacentral:snRNA from 1 species